AUGCAUUCCACUGAGACCACAGAAAGAAAAAGUGAAGAUCAAGACACCAUGACAUCACCUUGUGUUCUGCCCGUUGGAUCCACCGGAAUGAGCCUUUCCCCUGCUUCAAGUCGGCAGCCGAGUGGUAGAUCUCCCCACUUGCAGGACAACCUUCUCGGCCUUCUGCACCUCCUCCACCGCAGUUUGUCAGGCUACCAACCCUUCUCCCAGAACGUACGCCAAGGGCCCAGGCCUGGCGGCCGCCUCCAUCCCUGGCGAGGCUGUGAUGGAAGAACACUGAGCAGGCACUCAGGCACCGGGUUCCCCAGCGAUCGGGUCUCUGCAGUGAUCCUAGGUAGGUGAUGGGCAUGGCCGGUGAUCUCUUAAGUUUCCCUCUACUUUGAGUUGCCAUGCCAUCUGCCAACCUCCCCAUCAGCAGUGUGCACCCAUCCCAGAGUGUGGCUGGAAGGUCAAGGGUGCUAAUACACAAUGUGCCUGGCCUGGAACAAAGGCUAUGUGGGUGUGACCGUCCCCACAGCUACGUGUCUGACCCAGAACUGACAAGAACUUCAUGCCCUACUAUUUAGGGAAUGCGGUUCUUCCUCCUAUGGUCCUGGCAGGGUAUGGGGAAGAGACUGGACCCUGUGGCCACCACAGAGAACAGAACAGGGCCCUCGGGUCAGCAGGCACUGACUGCUUAGACCAUGGGCAGACCACUUAAUUGAGCAGGUUCUUGUCUUGACUUGAGGGCCACUGCUACCUGUAAAAGGCUAAGACUUUGAAUAGAAUGUAUCCACUGUUUUGAUUAAUUUCCUGUAGGUGGGAAAAAAGGCCUAUAAAACAAAAACACUGAAACACAGAAAAUGACAGUUCUUUUAUUUUGCUAGCUGAGGGAAAGUUAUAAAAUAAAACAGACAACACAGAGCUUUGCAACUUCCUUGGAGGCAAGGAACACAGAGAUGAACAAUGACCAGGCAACAAACACAGGGAUCCAGACAUGUAAACAAGACAGAACUUCCAGAAAGUUAUUUUAUACAUUACAACUUCAGAAUACAGCAGCUCUUGCAGGCUCUAGAGUAAAAUGAAGCAAGACUCUUCCAAAACCAUCCACACACAUUCCGAGCUGUGUCAGAAGGCCCCUCCGCAUCCCAGGCUGGGUGGAUGCUGCAGAGAGGCCAAGACUGGGGCCACCUGGGCUUUGGCUUUGCAGGCGACUCCACCUGCUCUGUGUUCUCUCGAGUUUGCCUUCUCACUCUUUGGAGACUAGCUCCAGCCCCUGCCUGUCUCUCCUUUGACCCACAGCCCUUUCCUGUUCUUAGUAGGAAACCCGGCUAAAGCCAGGGGAGCCUGGCCGAGUCCUUCUAGGAGUCCUUCUAAUGCAGGGGUGGCUCCUCCUCAGGGCUCAAGGGCCAACCCUGCCGUUAGAAAAACAGCAAAAAGGCUACAAAGAUAACCAGUUAACCAUCUCAUACUGUCCUCCUCCAGAAGCUUCUGAUGUGUUUGGUUAUUACUCUGUCCCAUGUUUUGCUCCUGUCCUAGGGUUUUGACUCAGCCAGGAAAAGGCAGGCCUCGCAGCCUGGCCCUGCACUCUUCCUGUUACUGCCAGCGGUGGGCCCUGGGCGCAUCACAGACUCACAACCCCACCACUGGCCUUAGCCCCACGACCCCAGCCAGACAAACCCUCGGCCUCUGGAAUGGUGAGUUGUUCCACCCAUGGUCUGUCAUCAGGAGGCCAGAGGGCUCUCGGUCACCCGGAGGCUGGCCUUGAAAGGAUGCAGGAAGGCGAAUUAUAAGGAGGGAAGAGCAGAAGCUGUGACGGGCUGUCCCAUCAGGAGGAGAGAACGGGCGCAGUGCACCCUCCCCAGGGCUGGAGGGAAGUCUUCGAUUAAAUAUCUGGGGAAAGACGAGGGUGCGGGAGGGCAGCCACCCCACAGCCGAGGCACAGGGGCGGUGUGAAAUGUCCAGGAUAAACACAACCGCUGGGAGGAGAAAUUCAGCUCCAUCCUCUCUCAAAAGCAGUCGCCAUCGGCACCAAAAUAUAUUAAUAUCUGUACACUUGUCAUCUUUUAAAAAGAAAUAAAACCUCCUUGGCACCAGUAGUUGAUUUCUUAAAAUGAGGUGAUACGUGGCAAGGCCUCCUGUGUACGCACGCCCACGGCUGUGCACACGCUGCAUCUCCCUGUCAACGAGCAGAGCCCUGCAGCCCUGAGCAAGAGGAACACAGCCGAGUGGGCCAAAGCCAGCUCCUCCACCGCUGGCGCCACCGGGUGUCCUUUGUCAGGGCACCCGACUGCCAUCCACGGGAACCAGCUGCCCCUGC
rnacentral:lncRNA from 1 species